rnacentral:rRNA from 1 species
AAUGGGGGAAACCCUGAUGCAGCAACGCCGCGUGAGUGAUGAAGGUCUUCGGAUCGUAAAGCUCUGUCUUCAGGGACGAUAAUGACGGUACCUGAGGAGGAAGCCACGGCUAACUACGUGCCAGCAGCCGCGGUAAUACGUAGGUGGCGAGCGUUGUCCGGAUUUACUGGGCGUAAAGGGAGCGUAGGCGGAUUUUUAAGUGAGAUGUGAAAUACCCGGGCUCAACUUGGGUGCUGCAUUUCAAACUGGAAGUCUAGAGUGCAGGAGAGGAGAGUGGAAUUCCUAGUGUAGCGGUGAAAUGCGUAGAGAUUAGGAAGAACACCAGUGGCGAAGGCGACUCUCUGGACUGUAACUGACGCUGAGGCUCGAAAGCGUGGGGAGCAAA